AGCAUUCUGAAUCCGUGCCGAGAUUUCUUCAAAUACUAUGCCAUCAGGACUGACGAGACUGCCGAGAUAGGUGAAGUG
rnacentral:pre_miRNA from 1 species